rnacentral:lncRNA from 1 species
UAAAAGACCAAGAGCUGCAAUGCAUGUCAAAACAUAAUAAUUAAUCACUCUGUAAGUUUUUUUUUUUUUUUUUUCGGUAGAAUAAGAAGUUUAUAUUUUGUUACAAGAAGAAUUGAUGUUAAUUACAAUGAAUUGGUUGGUUUAGAUUUUUGAUGUUUUGCUUCAGUAAAUCUUAGUGGAUUUUGUCAAUCGCGUCAUCAUCUAGUUUUAUACAUUAUGGAAAUUGCUGGUUUUAUAUUUCAAUAUCUCUGCAUGUUGUUGUUAAUUAUCUUUUAGACACCCGAUUACAUUUUUCAUCAAUUAAGAGUGUGAGCUUCGGAAGAAUUUCAAGUUCCUCGAGCGAAAAAUAAACUUGUACGUCCUGUGUUUGCAGUGAUACAAUGGAUGAAUAUCAGAAGCAAGUGAAGGCUUUAGCAGAGCAACUAAUUCGCAUCGUCUUCAAAUUCUUGAGCAUUUCUCAAGAAGAAGUGGAUUGGUUUGAUGAUCCAACUAAUAUGUGUCCUUCUGCUUUUCAGCUAAAUUCUUAUCCCCCUUGCCCUGACCCGACUCAAGCUUUAGGUCUACCACCACACACGGACGGUUCCUUGUUUACCAUACUCCACUCCCGAACCGAGGGUCUUCAAGUCUUCAAAGAAGGAGUUGGGUGGAUUACUGUGCAGCCCAAUCCUGAAGCAUUCAUUGUGAAUCUUGGUGAUGUACUCCACAUAAUGUCCAAUGGUCGAUUUGUUAGUGUUCUUCAUCGAGCCGCGGUGAUCCAAAAAGACCAUCGGAUCUCUGCCGCCUAUUUCUAUUGGCCCCCAAUGGACUUCACCAUCUCUCCCAUCCUCUCUAAGAACUCUGCUGACUCCGAACAAGUUCCUAAGUAUCGUUCGGUCACAUUGAAGGAGUAUCAUGUCAUAAAGACUAAGCAUUGUCAAGAUACUCUUUCUGUUAUUAGAAUUUAAAUUCUAUGAUAGAACUUUUAUUUACAAGAAAGGUGCGGCGCGCUGCACUUUUUAGUCUUGAAAAUUGAAACCGUUGAAUGUAAAGGGGGGACUUUGAUCCUAAAACCCUAAUUACAAUAUAUAUGCAUCUAGAGAAUGUUCUAAAAUGAUAUCCUAAAUUUUAGAUUCAAAUAAAAUCAUUCAUUAGCUUCUUUAUAUUGUUAGUACUUUUUUCAAAAUUAUAAGUGCUCUAUACAUUUUUCUUUGAGGGUGCACUAUAAUACCCGUACUGUUGACGGUGCACUAGAAUUGAUCAGACUUCUUCUUUUAAGUUCACCUGCCCUUGAGACAAUGACAGUAUAUAAUCACCCCAGCAUAUCUCUUGAUGGUAAUGAUCUAGCAAAAACGUUGCUCCGAUUUAAGCGAUCGAGCGCACUUAAUUUAGAAUUUGUUCUAGCUGAUUUUGAUAUGUUGUAUUGUGAUUUCAGAAUAAGAGUUUGGCACAACUCUUUAUGAUGAUGUAUGUCUGUUGAAAACAAUUUGAAUUUAGGGAUAAAUUCUACUGUGAGAAGUAUGUCAAGACUAGAGAAGAUCGUUUCAUUUUUCAGUGAAAAUAAAGUGUCAAACAAUGCUCAUACCUCAGUGGAGAGGCCGAAUAUAAUACAGACUCUUGUGGUAAAAACUUGUGUCGAAUGUGGCCCAACUUGAUUUACCAAACAGCAACUAGUGUGACCCAAAUUCUUUAGGUGCCCACUCUAGCUCUAUUUCUUACUCCUCCAAAACCCUAAAGAACGAAAGAAACAGCCGUAGCAGAAUUAUCUCUAAAGACUGAAUCUUUCUCUCUCAGGUUUCUGAACAAAAGUGAAGUGCUUGGUAAUUAAGUUGAUUCUCUUAAUUUCGUGCUAUUUGCAUCCAUCGUCUUCCUUCAUAUUUUUAUUAACUGUGUAGUAAAAUUUUCUGAUUGAUCUUCAAGUGUUAGUGGAGUUUGGAAUUUGGGCAUAUGAUUUAAGGGAAGAAAUAUAAAGAAUUCUCUCACUUUCUUGAAUUAAUCCAGUCUGAUAGGUGUCAUAAUUGAAAUUGAAAUUGUAUGCUUUCUAUGUCUGCACACUAGGUCUCAGUCUAAAUGAGAUUUGUUUUGAUACUUGAAUAUCACAGAAGGAUCUUCCAAGUCCUAGGUUGAAUAUGGAGGUGGAGUUGGAUAGAAUCAGCAACUUACCAGAAGAGGUUAUAGACAAAAUAUUGACAAAUUUGCCAAUCAAGGAUGGAGCGAGGACGAGUGUUUUGGCAAGCAAUUGGAGGUACAAAUGGGCUAUGCUUCCACAUCUUGUGUUUGAUGCUCGGUGCAACUCCAGGAUUGCUAAUCAGGUGCUCUUAGGUCAUUUUGGCCCCAUAAGUAAGUUUGAACUUUGUCAAGGAUCCAAAGACAUCAGAGAUAUUGAUGGCUGGAUUCUUUACCUGUCAAGAAACCACCCCGUCAAUGACUUGAAACUCAGCUUUUCUGUGAGGAAGCGUUACAAGAUGCCUUCGUGUAUGUUUUCUUGUCAAGAUAUAAUUCAUUUGAAUUUGACUGGAUGUCUGCUAAAACCUCCUUCAACAUUCGAAGGGUUCAGGAGUUUGAGAAGCCUUCAUUUUGAGGAUGUUAUACUGAACCAGGAUGUGUUCGACCAUAUGAUUCUUUCUUGUAAUCUGCUUGAGAGAUUGACUUUGAAGGACUGUGGCGGUUUCACCCAACUCAAGAUUGAUGCACCCAAUCUUCUAAUCCUACACUGUUCUGGUGUUUGUAAGGAUUUCAGUACUGUGAAUGCAUUGCAACUUGCUUAUGUUUACAUUGAUUUAUUUAUCCCACAAGUUCAUCAUAAUUCUAGCAAUGUGCUCAAGUUUUUUCACUUUUUCGUUAGCCUGCCUAUGGUUGAGGGUCUUCAUAUUAGCUGGAGCUUUUUGAAUUAUCUGGCUGCUGGUGCUUUGCCAAAACUACAUAAACCAUGUCUACAUCUGAAGUUUCUUGACAUAUCCAUGUUCUUUGAUUAUAUGGAGGAAGUUUCAAUUGCUCUUUGCCUUCUGAGCAGCUCGCCUGCUCUCGAAAUACUAAAUAUGGAAGCUAUGGGGUGUCAUAAUCAAGCUGAUGUGGGAGUAGUGAAGUCUUGGCUGUAUAAGAACCGGAUUUGUUCAUUCACCAAACUGCGAUUUGUGAAAAUACAACGCAUAUCUGGUGUUGAAGCUCAACUAGAUUUUAUCAGAUUUCUGCUCAUAAGUUCACCAGUACUUGAGACAAUGACUGUUGUGUUUCUGCCUUUGGAGCCUAAUGCUGCUGAUGAAAAUCCGGAUCUAGCUGUUCACCAACAUUAUUUGGAUGUAGUUACAAAGUUGCUGCGGUUCAGACGUGCCUCACCGAAUCUAGAGAUAAUAUAUUCACAGCCAUGAUUCAUCAAUGUAUUUAGGUAGCUCUAGUGGUAGUUGCUUCCAGAGUGUGUGACUUCUGUUCAAGUUUUAUGUAAUCUAUUUUUAUCUGUCCACAAUUAUCUCCUUCUAGCAUUACGUUCUAUUUUAUUGUUCAAGUUUUCUGCACAAUUCCCAAACAGAUUGAUAAAACCUUUAUGUCAACCAAGAAAAAGGACUAUUCAUUGAAAUCAAACAGGAGGCAUAGAACCUCAAUACUAACAACUAAAUAUGCCCCGGCAUCUAAACACACAUGUAUCAGAAUUCAAUGGCACAAAAGAGGGCUCUUGAUGCCCCCAAGUUGUUUACAACAUUGCUAUAGCCGAUUAUUACAUAACUGGUUCUCGUACUGCACUGAUCGACUCCAUAACCCAGCAGUUGUAAGCAAAGCAAACCACUUCCAAUCGAGAAAAGCCAGAGUUCAGUGCUAAGGCCUCGUACUCUUUUUUGGUUCUUAGUCUCUUUUCCUCCUGGGUUCUGAGUAAACAUUAGUAAAUCCUGCUCCCACACAAUGUUGGACGUAACGCUAGUAUAUAUAUCAGGUAUUUCAGGAAGAAUUGACUCCACAAAGAUCACUUUUCCAGAGCAAGGGAGUGAUUUACAGCAGUUCUUGAGAAGUGUCAAAGUGUCAAACAAUUCUCAUCACUCCAAUCAUGAAGGAUCCAUUGAAAAUUACAUAAACCAGACUAUUACCAAAAAUCAAGUGUAGUAUAUAUAUGAAGGCUGCUCGAUCUAUCUUUAUAUGUGUGAGAGGUGUAACACCGGUUUGAGUUCACAACUCCUUAUUUCCCUCCAUAUUAUCCUACUCCCUAGACCCUACUUCAAGUGAAUUCAAUGAUUAAUCUAGAGGGAUUGAGGAUAUAGUUUUUCUUUUGUUUUUUUCAGAGGCUUCUAGUGUCAAGUGUCAACCUGCUGCCCAAAACUUGAGUCCAACAGUAGCUUGGUUAAUCCCCUGCCCAUUCGAAUUUAUGUUUCAACAAGUUUCAUUCGGCAUGUAUGUGAUCCAACUACACAUAUGUGUUGAAUUUCAGUAUUUUUUUCGAAUAAAAUGAUUCGUCUUUAUCAAGUCCAUGAAAUUGAGGGGAAUUGCGUUCCCCUUCCAUGUAACUAAUCAAAUAGUGUAAAAAUGUGGAGAUUUACUUUUCUUUAGUAUGCAAAGCAUUAGAACAUGCAUAUAUAGUUAUCCAUGCUUAACCGCUACAGGAUUCUACAUUUAAAAGAGUUUUGGGCAGCUGAAGUUAUUUUCAUGAUCAUUCCUUGCCCAGUUAAUUAGUUGAAUUCUUGUCCAAAAAAUUGAAUAGAAGAAUAAAAGUAUAAUAGAAACCAAUUUUUCAGGUUACGGAUACUUUCAAGUAUGCAUGAAAAGGAUAAGCACAGAAAGCUAGCUAGCCGCUAAAAGAAGAGGUCGGAAAUUAGAUUUUCUUGAUGUUUCUGGAUCUAAAAGAAAACUAGAUGAUUUCUGGAAGUCGAGUUCGAUAUACAUGAGCCACAGAAAGCUGUGUAUGGAUGAGUUUCAAUAGCCUCCGGUUCUCAGGCUGUCUGUGUACGGCUGUUCCCCCAUAGUCAGAAUAACUUCUUGACUUGACUUGACGUAGAGGUCGACAAGGCCAUUUUUCCAAACGUCUUUUCAAACGCGCCCUAUCAGGGCCUACCCUAGCUCAGGGCAUCACCGGCCUCGAUCCAUUGCUAUCUCAUUCCCAGAAGAUAUUUCCGAUCGGAAACUUUUGCCCUUUCAUGAAAAACGUUGUACUGGACUACUGGCUUUGAUGCGUUUAGUGGAAACUGGAAAUUGAUUGUGAAAAGGAUCGGUGACGAAUGGCGGAGCGACACCAGGAACUGGUGAUGGUGACUGUCGGAAACGAUGAUGAUCAAGGUGUGACGAUCAGGUGAUGAUAUUACAUAAUGAAUUAAAAGAAAUCAUAAGUUUCUUUUCCGAGCUAUAUAUACGAGUCAUCAGAGUCGGCAUGUAUGAGUCCCAGAGAGGAGAGUACAGUAUUCCCUACAAGUAUAAUAUGAGUCAUAUAUAUGAUCGAUCUUCAAUCUUUAAUUUUGUUGCGAGUACUUAAAUCUUUGGCUGCAUACAUGCAUAUUAGGUAUACGAUCGAUUGUGUGGUCUAUUUCGGUGAAAAGCACUAUGGCUUUACUCCCAACAAAAGAAUCUCAUUCAUGGUCUACAGAAUCUUGUACUCCUCGAGAGGUAGGCCUAGCUAUCUUAUACAUGAUCACAACGUAUAUACUGAUCUAAUCAAAUUUCAAACUGAGCCGAUCAUCAUCACACAUGCAAUACAUAAUACAAAUUCCAUCAAACGUACUGUGAAAUUAUAAUUGAGACACACAGUACUCAAAUUACUUGUUCCAGAAGAAAUUUGAACUUAAGACCUCAUUCGAUCCUGAACCAUGCACCAAACCCUAAAGCUAGCGCAUGCCCUGAAAACUAAGAGCUUCAGUCACUUUCAAGUAGGCGCAAGUUUGUUAAAGAAGCAUCAAAACUAAUUGCAUAUAUAUACAUCCAACUUAAUUGAUGGUUAACUAAUAUUUAGCCUUAGUUUACAUGUGUUAGUAUCCGAAUUGAUCAGUUAUAUCUUCUAGCACCAUUGGUUGAUUCAACAAGUGGUGUUCAAUUUCUUCUGCGAGUAAACACCAAAACUAAUCAUAUUCAUCCAUAUCUUAUCUUGUUGUCGCUCUAGUUUGCUUCUUCUAUGUAUGUAGGUGGUUCAUAUCCUUUUCAUGAAGUCCAACAAAACUUCUCUAUCUUUGUCCAUCUAGCUCUUUCUUCCAGUAGGUUUCUAUCUUUCUCAAAUUAUACUUGCCAACUCGUAAGCCUCCAAUUCUCGAAUUAAGCAUUUGUACAAUAUUUGAAACCAUUGUCUUUCUUUUCAAACAGAAACCCUCAGUUUUGUGAUAUCAACAAAUGAUUCGAUCUCGAACUUACGACCUCUUGUCACACUUACGUUAAUGUCACUAAACCAACUCGUAUUGAACUAGAUACCCUUGCCUUCGGAUUCAACUAUAUAUAGUUCUUUUUCGUACUCCUCGAGAUCUCUAUCUCUCUUUAAUAUGUAUCCAGGAAGUUAUAACUUGCAAGCCUUUUUUAUAAGACGUACACUGAAUUGGCUCAUUUCGAGUGACAGAUGAGCUGCUCAUCGAUCAGUAGUGGGCGGCUGAAACUCUUUCCGACAGAUCCAUGUCCUAGUUCAUGAUGAAAAUGAAUUAUUACAGGACCCAGGAAUAUCUUAUCGUCGAACCCCGCUAUACGAUUGUAAAAAUAAUUACCCAGAAAGAUGUACGAUAUAUAACAAACUCAGAUCAAGUCAGAGCGAGCAUAGCACGUAAUACAAAGUAUUAAAGAUCACCAUAUGUAGCACUUCCCCGUUUAGGGUUUAUAUGGUCGUCAUCGAUCUGUUUUGAUUAGAUUAAUGUAAACCAGUUCCUUGAUCGAGCAUAACAUAUAUUGAUAUAUAGUUAUAUACCAAUGACAUUCUUUUUAUCAGUUUCGUGUAAAAGAAAAAUGGAAAUCCUUCUCAUGUAUAUAUAUACCAAGUAAGCUAGUUUCACGUACUUGUUGAGGAAAAUAAUCAUGAUUACAAGUCCACGAUGAUCCAAAAGCAACCAAAACACCUGCAGACCACAUCAAGUACAAUUCCAACACACACGAAAACCCUAAAUACAAAUAUCCCGUCCUAUUCUUUAUGCAGGGACCAUAUAAUUGACUUGAUCUUGCAUAAUCUAUAGUUAAAACGAUUGAUAAUGAGUGGAAAAUGAAGUUUUGCUUCUCAGGUCCAACCUCAAAGAUGCCCUUCCAAUAACUGAUGCUGAUAUAUAUUUUGCGUAUCCAGUAACAAACGUGUUAUGUAUUCUGAGAUUUCUGGGUUAAAAGAGGAAACUGAAAGGAUAUAUAAAACGACGAUCCAAAGCUAGCUCGACAAAAAUGAUUAAAGGGUCUCACUGUAUGGGGGAUAUCAUUAGAUAUCAUUUCAUGGGGGUCUCAAUCGAUGAUGGCCGCUCCUCCUUGGUUUCGUAUAUCACAUCCUAAUAAGGGUUGGCGCUGAUCUUAAUUGUUUCUAUUUAUAGUAAGACAACAACCGCCUGCUCCACCACGCUGGCGAGUCUGGCCGACCUUCAUUCCUCACCCCCAAUCAGUCACCAGUCAUCAUGAUUGACUCGAUCAGUUUCCACUUGAUGAUCGACAUCCUAGCUCCACUUGUGUUAUAUAUGAGAUCAUCAGGUCGAUCAUAUAUAAUCUAGGAAACUCUUCUAACGAGGAUCUUUAAGUUGAGGACUAGUUGAAGACUUUUCGGCUUAUCCUAAUUUUCGAUCUUAUAUCCACAUCUUGACAGUUCAGUUCAUAGGUAUUUAUGAGUAGAUCAUUUCUGUAAAUUUUCAGCCAUAUUGAAUAUCGUUAAGGCAUUCAUAAGUGUGAUAUACCAAUUAUGAACUUGAACAGUUCAUGUUUGACAUAUUUGGUUCAUUUAUUAAUUUGAUAUAGUUUGUUACCUUAACGAUCAUCGAUUUGGCUGAAAAUUUGUAUGGUUGAUCUAUACAUAUAGACCUAAAAACUGAACGGAUGAGAUGUCAAGAUGUUAUCGAAAAAUAGGUCAAUUAAAUCAUAAACCGAAAAGUCUUCAACUAGUCUUCAACUUAAGGGUCCUCAUUAGAAUGGCUCCUAUAUAAUCUAAGCUAGGCCUACGUAUCCAAAAUAUCGUUUGUCUUGUACUCUAAAGGCUCCAAUCCCGAAGUGAAUGGAUAGCUUUGUAAAAGAGGCCAUCUCCAUUAAUAGAGGCUAUAGGUCCAAAUCUUAAAUUUUGGUUUUCUUUCAGUCUCCAACAAUAAAUAUGAAAAGGGCUAAAGAGUCAAAGGGCCAUCAAAAGGGCAAAACAUAGGCCUUUAGGCCAUCUCCAGUAGGAGAUGGCUAUAUUAAGGCCAGGGCUAUAAUUUAGCCCUCAGAAAUAUUAUUUUUUAUUUAUAGACUACUAAACGAUCUCUAGUAAUAGAGGGCUAAAUUUUAGCCCAAUCAAAUAUUUUAUGAUUUCACAUUAUAUUUUCAAACUUAUAAUUUUAUUUUAUUAUAACAUUAUUUAGAUUAGGACCAAGAUAAAUAUUUGAGAGAAGAAACAAAUUAUUUGAUUUAAUGAACAACUAGCCGUUGUUAUUAAACAACCAUAAUUGCAUUCAAAUGAGCAUUGGAAAAUUUUUCCGUUAGGGGAAAAUGUGAUGCAUGGGCAUGACCAAUUAAAUGUUGCCAUUUGCCAAACUUUGAGUCAAUUUCAGCCAACCCACAUGGAUCAUUUCAAUUUUUUAUUCUGAUGAGGAACCACUCUUUGGUUUAGACUGGGCUAGCCAAAGGGCUAAGUUUGGCCCUUUUCAUUGGCCUUUGGCUCUCUUGUAAUUUAUUGUUGAAGACCAUAUUAUAGCUAAAAUAUAAGAAUUGGCCAUUUAGACUCUCUUGUUGGAAAUAGCCUUAUUUUAGCCCCGGCCCCAAAUUUUAGCUAGCCCAGGCCAAAGCAAAAUGUGGUCCCAAAUUAAAUUAAAAAACUAUAUUUUGCAUGUGGGUUGAUUAAUGAUGUCUCAAAUUAUAACAAUUGUUAACUUUCUAUUAGAUGAUUCAUUCUCGUCUCAUUACAAUGGGCAAAUUCUUCCGACUCAAAAUCAAUGCUAUGUAAUUAAUUAAAUAUGCAAUAAAUGGCUGAUAUCUUAUUGUGUUAAUAUAUUCACAAACAAUGCAAAAAGUUUAUUCAAGAAUUAAUGUGACGACGUAUUUGUUGUAAAAGUGACAACAUAUUUAUAAUAAAAGUGACAACAUAUGUUAAAAUAUAAUGUGAAACCAUAAAAUAUUAAAAAGGGCUAAAAUUUGGCCUUUCAUGCUGGAGAUAGUUAUUUAGUAAUCUAUGAAUAAAAAACAAUAUUUUUAGGGCUAAAAUAUAGCUCUGACCCCAAUAUAGCUCUCUCAUAUUGGAGAUGACCUAACGUAGCUAGGUUUAUAUACAUGGUUGAAACUUAUCGACUGCUCUUGCCAUUAUUCACUCCAUUAUUGAGUUCGCGCGAUAUGACUUCAGUUGCAAAGUUUAUAUAUACUGCAAAUUUCCAUUUAUUCAUGUUUUUGUAUCACGUACUCUUGUAAUUCUAUGUAGUGUCUUACAAGGAUCACUGUCAAAUAAUGGAAUUAUGGAAAUACACAACCAUAUAUGCAUGGAAAAGCAUCUAAGAUUAAACCAACCGGUCAGUGUCUCGGUGAUCAUGUUCUCAAUGGAUCUCAAUGGAUGUGGGAUGAACCAAAAUUAGAAUGAUAAGGUUCUAAGUUGGGUUACGUUCAAUUUUCCAUAUUAAUUGUACGUUGAGAGUCAGGAAAUAUAAUUUUACAUCUUUCGGCAGUUAUUUUUUUAGAAUAGGCAUUGUAUGCUGAUCUAUGUAGUGUUUUUUAGGCAUCGAUAUAUCAUCAUGGAGUGUUCGUCCAUCCCUAACUUGACAUCGUGAGUCGUUUGAUUAAUAUGGAACUGGAUACCUCCCCCUAAAGAAAAACCUUGAACCUCCUAUGCACAUUUAGUUAAUUAUCAGUACCAUUUUGCAAGCAAGCAGGCAAGCAUCAUAACUUGGUAGUUCAACCUUUAAAGUGAGUAGUCAUAGAAAAUUCGGCAACUUUCUCAAAUAAGUUAUAUCACGUAUAAAAAAUUCUUGUAUGUACGACGUGCAAAUAAACUGUACCAUUUUAGUCAUUCAUAUAUUAAGACUUCUCAUGUAUGUCCAAUAAGUUAUAGAUCUUGAUCAUCCACAUAAUAUUUAUAACCGGUGCAAAAAACUCUCCUAUCACUUACAUGUGAAAGAAAAAUGAGAUUAGGUCUACGUCAAACCGUAUCACCAUCACGUUAAUAAUAAGAAAAUUCAGUUUUAAAAAAUUCCAUUUUUUUGCAAAUUUUAAAAACUAUUUUCAACCUCAUGUUUAGCAGUUUAGGUACGUAAAUAGUUACCAUCGUCCAAUUUAAUUUGCUUUAACUUGGUCGGUUUAUCCCUCGCGUAUACUGUAGUUUUCUUUACUUUUCUUUGAUGGGACACAUGGUUGUCCUUGCAAUUAAUCUUCAUCACAUGACACAAAUUUGCUAUAAUCCAUCAGAAGCGUGACACAUUAACAGUAUUUUAUUCGUUAUCCUAUGCUUAACUUUAUUGGGACUAAUAAUGCUUACAGUUUUCUCUUUGUAUUGAUCACUACAUUUGAUUAUUCCACUGGCCACCAUUACUGCUUGCGAGUGACAUAAUAUAUAUUCGUACACAUGUUAGGCCUAUACAUGAAGCAUCAAACAGAUUUAUUUUCGGUGUGAUAAUUUCUCACUUUAACAAGUCAUGCAUAGUCAAAACGAUUACUUAUAAAAACUACUAAUCAAAAGAUUAAACAUAAAAUAAAUUAACCUUAUGGGAAUUCAACUUUAAGUCAUGUUUGAACAAUUCAAAAAGUUCAGAAUACCUGUAGCUAGUAUGGUUUUAUUACCCAAAAAAAAAGUAUGUUUUUAUUAUAAUUACUUAACUCACCUUACGUGUUACUAAGAUUUAAUCACAUGAUCUAGCUAUACGGUGUCAAAGUUUAGCUAACCAAAAUGUCACGGCUAAGUUUAAAAUAGCUGGUCACCAAACUUGUAGACCGGAUUUCUUCACUAAUCACAUCAACAAGUGAUCUGCUAUCAUUAGAUAACGUUUCAUAAUUUCUAUUGCACGCCACUUCUAUAAUAAGAAGAAAAUCCCGGGGGGGUGGCACGAAACCGAAAUAGUAGAAAAUGGAAGCACCGCAAGAGAAAAUACAGCAGCGCGUUCAAUGAACUGGAUCCCCAAAACCGGGUGGACCCCACAUCCUCGGUAAACGCAGCCACUUUCUAAUUCGUAUUCUCCACCACGUGCUUAAAUUCUUACCUCCUUCCUCUUUUUUAUCCCCACGUGCUUUAAAUACCUCCCAUAAGUCUCUCCUUGUCCGACUCCUCUUCUCUCCUCCCUCAACUCUCUCUCUCUCUCUCUCUCUCUGAAAAUGAGUUCCAAUAAAAUAUUAAUAUUUACAGUCCUCCUCCUCACAUCUCAGACAGUCCCGGCGUCGCCGUCGCCGUCUGCUCCGGGAGAUCACAGUCACCCGAUUUCUGAGCUCGAGCUCGACUGUUGCCUAAACUGCAAGCCAAGCCCCGAAUUAACCUCCGCCACCAAGAACUACAGCCGCAUCCACCGUGCCCUAGCGACUGCAUCGACGGCGACGUCUUGCGAGGUCUGGACGACGGCGUGCUCGGAAUCGGUGCUGAGCUUUGCGAAGCAGCCGGAGAACGUGGAGUGGCUGAAGAGGAUUAGGCGGAGGAUCCAUGAGCAUCCGGAGCUGGCUUUUGAGGAGGUCGAGACGAGUCGCUUGGUUAGGGCCGAGCUUGACAGGUUGGACAUCGAUUACCGGUUUCCGUUAGCAACCACCGGGAUCCGGGCAUGGAUCGGAACCGGCGGCCCGCCGUUUGUGGCCGUCAGAGCUGACAUGGAUGCCCUGCCUAUUCAGGUACUGCGUUAAUUAAGCUUUUGUAUUUUAUCAUAAGAGAAAGAUUCAACUAUUCUUUCUUUUUAUGGAACAAAAAAACUUACCUAGCUUUCUUUCUUUCUUCUUUGUAUACUUGAUUUCCUUCCUAAAUUGGUUAGGGAUGGAAUGAAACUUGCAUUUGGAGUUUUUCGUGCUUACGGUUCACACAAGAAAUGACAAGUUUUAACUCGAUCUGGACUUGAAAUUAUUUAUGUUUAGUUUUUGCAUUUUUUUUUUCUAUAAUUCACAUAUAGAGAUCAAAAUUCGAAAAAUCUAACGAAUGUCGUCUAGCAUUCACAUAAACACCUGAAAUGAUUGUUUAUACUGACACAUGUGCACUUCAUUGAUGUUCUUGUGAUGAUUCAUAAGAUGCUUUAAUUUCGUAUAUUAUGAGUUGUCAGAAGUAUAUGGAUAACAUAGUAUGUUAGAUGAGAGAGAAAACAAACUUAUGUGUGUCGGAGAGUCAAGAAUCUAAGUAGAAUAUUGUUUUCGCACGAAGUAUUAUUAAUUUUGCUGAUCAUGUUUUCAAUGCGCUAAUCAUGUUUUCAAUGCGCUAUAUUCAGAAUCUCGAGAUUUUAUUUUUUUUAAGUAAAAAAAAUAAAGAGAAGUAUAUUGAAAAUGUUGGCCUGAAAAUGUUGUAGGAAGCCGUAGAAUGGGAACACAAGAGCAAGGUCGCCGGCAAAAUGCAUGCUUGUGGGCACGACGCACAUGUGACCAUGCUAUUAGGUGCUGCCAAGAUCUUGAAGAGCCGUGAACACCUUUUGAAGGUCAGUAAAUUUCUCACUUUCUUCUUCAUCACAGUUUUACCUAAAAGUAAAUCUGGUUGGUAGGGUUGGUUGCGAUUAAAAGCCUCUGAUCAACUUUUGGUAAAAGCUUUUUAUGCCUAUAAUCACUUUUGGACAAGUAUGGCAGGUUUUGUCUUGCGCUUUAAACUUCAGUUAAUCUGUCUUGUUUCCACACACACACACACAAAAAAAGUUGAAUUAACUUGUUGCUCAGCUAGGGCGGUGUUGGAUGAGUUGCUUUGUGGGUCUUCAAUUACACAUUGCCCAAACACGGCUUUAUCUAUAUCACAUGCAAUGAUGCGCUCUUGUAGUAUUCUUUCUGCCUUUUCCAACUAGUUUUUUCUUCACCGGUGCUUAUUUCUUAAGCCUGUCUGCUGGUAAACUCUUCUCGAGUCUUCUACAAAUAUGAAGACAGCAUUGUUUGAUUUCGGAUCUAGUAUAAUCUUAACCUGCCAUCUUGAGAUACUUUGAACCGAUAUUUGUUCCCAUUUCGUAUUAUGCACAAUCUCAAUAGCAAACAUUGUAGUCGCAACAUUGUUUUUGCUUUGAUAUCUUCUUUCGUCAUUUCUAUGGUUGUCGAGAAACUAAAUCGAGAUGGUUAUGAGUAGAGAAUAUAGAUGUGUAUUUCAUUGAUGAAUAGGGCGCUGGCAUACAAAGCUAAAAUCCAUUACAGAUAGAAAUUCAAGGGUAAUGAGAGAUUAAUUUUGGUUAAAUAAGUUUGAUGGUUGUUAAUGGCUGUUUGUGUUUGUACUAAUGUAGUUUGUACUCAUACGAGCUAGAAUAAUACUUUAACAUGUUGCAUUUGUCAGUGUAAUUGAAGCACGUGGGUUAAUUAGCACUGUGCUGGUCUAACUGAGUGGCUAUGUUAUAAAUACUUGGUUCAGAAUAUAAUAAAGUACGUCUCGAUCUGUCUGUACGUUCUUGCUGGUCCUGGGUCUCUGUUUUACUGUCUACUCUGCUUCAAUCGAUGGCCAGCUACCCAAUCCAGCUGAUAUUGGUCAAAUGUAGGUUUCAACUUACAUUCUAAUUAAGAAAGAGAACUGUUGGAUACACUGGAGGUUAGACUAUUCGAACUGUUCGUAGAAUUUAUAUACAUGGCCCAUCUCUAAGCUAAGGUUUGGUAAAGAAUUCAUUCAACUAUGGAAGCUUGUGCUAUAUUGGAUUGAUGAUCGCAACCCCUCACCCUCAAGUCACUAUCCAAAUCUUUUGUAAUCGUUUAUUGUGUACUAAACGAAUUACACUGAAGUCUACUGAUUUGAUUUGACUGGAUUUACUUUUACAGGGGACUGUAGUAUUGAUAUUUCAACCGGCGGAGGAAGCCGGUAACGGCGCAAAGAGAAUGAUUGGAGAUGGGGCUUUGGAGGAUGUGGAGGCCAUAUUCGCAGCUCAUGUAUCCCACGAGCAUCCCACAGGCAUUAUUGGGUCGAGGUCUGGUCCUUUGCUAGCUGGCUGUGGCUUCUUUAGAGCUGUUAUCACCGGAAGGACUGGCCAUGGCGAAAGCCCUCACCACUCUGUCGACGCCGUUUUGGCAGCUGCCGCGGCCGUGAUCAGCUUACAGGGAAUUGUAUCACGCGAAGCGAACCCUCUAGACUCUCAGGUAGUACUGCAUUGUGUUUCGUUUAGUUUCUGCUUUGUGUGAAAUGUGAAUAUGUGAAAGCUGAUCUGCUUGAUGUUUUAUGAAAACAGGUGGUGUCCGUUACAGCUUUUAAUGGAGGUGACAAGCUUGACAUGAUACCUAAUAGUGUUGUAAUUGGUGGGACUCUCAGGGCUUUCUCUAACACAAGCUUCUAUCAUCUUCUUCAAAGAAUUGAAGAGGUUUGUAGCUCUAUAGAUUAUUGCUAAUCUAGCUACCAUGCUUCACAAAUAUUUGUAGGGAUUAAGCUGAUGCAAUAAUGCCUCUAACAGGUAAUUGUGGAACAAGCAAGUGUUUACAGAUGCUCGGGAACGGUGGAUUUCUUCAAAGACAAGCACACCAUAUAUCCACCGACGGUGAACGACGAGAAGAUGCACGAACAUGUGAGGAAAGUAGCCAUGGAUUUGUUGGGUCCAACAAACUUCAGGGUGGUGCCGCCUAUGAUGGGUGCGGAGGACUUCUCCUUCUACUCAGAGGUGAUCCCUGCCGGCUUCUUCUACAUUGGCAUAAGGAACGAGACCUUGGGUUCCUUUCACACAGGCCAUUCACCUUAUUUUUUCAUCGACGAAGAUGUUUUGCCUAUAGGGGCAGCAACUCAUGCCACUAUUGCCGAAAGAUACCUCAUCGAGCAUGGUUAAUCCGGAAAAGUCAAGGUUCCGGUGGAUGCAAAAUGCUGUUUCAAUGGGCACAAGCAUGAUGUGUAUAUUGCUGAGAAUGUGCUCUUUAGAUUUUGGUGUUAGGGGUCAGGCGGACUAGUACAGGGGAAGGCAGUCCAUUUCAUUUUAUUGAUGUAAAGGACGCAGCUAGAGCAUUUUCAGCUGGUCCAUGCUGCAAGCUGUAUUACUCAAAUGUUGCUAGAAUGAGUAGUUCUGCUAUUUAACGAAUGCAAUAAACAUUUGUCCAUACUUUUCUUCUGUUUCAUCAGAGAGAGAAGGCGAGAGUCGAACUCUGAACAGAAUAAAGAGGAUAUAGUGCUUGAUAUUUAGACAGCACACACCUUUCCAUUAUGUCACAUUCCUUUACCCAAGCUUUGUAACAAAAACGAUGUCCAUUACACCUCAUUUCCAAUUCAACUCAGUUCUAAAGUUCUACUACCAAAUAGAAAACGAAAUCAAGAAAAUUUUGAUGGCUUUCCCCAAUAAACAAUCUUGUAUCUUCCAAAUCUCAGCUCUUCUCACCACAUAAACUUCGGGCAGCUUGCAGGGCAAAGUAUGUGAGGAUAACGUCAGCACCAGCCCUUCGUAGACACAUCAGGGAUUCCAGCAUAACCUUUUCUUCAUCAAUCAUUUUGAGAGCACCACCAGCCUUGAUCAUUGAAUACUCACCAGAAACCUGCAUCGAUGAUUUUACAAAGACCAGCUUGAAGAUUUAGAAGCUUAAUGCAUGGGAUAAAGAAUUUCUGUCUGGGAAUGAAAUGAUAAGACAGGGAUACGACUUAAGGGAUGGUCAACCUGAUAUGCAGCGAUUGGCAAAGAAGAGCUAUCCCGGAGUAAUCUUAUGAUAUCUAGAUAUGGCAGACCAGGUUUCACCUGUUAACCAUUUUGCUAAGUUUCAGAACUAGAGCUUUUGGCAAUCAAUGCACACUACUAAAUGGUAUAAAGCAAGGAAUACAAACCAGGAGGAUAUCAGCUCCUUCAGACUCAUCUUCACCUGCCUCAAUCACAGCCUCUCUAUAAUUUGCUGGGUUCAUCUGAUAACUUGUGUUUUACAAGCCAGUUUUAU